UUAAAAAAAGUCAAGCAUUCUAUAGUCGCCCGUGUUUGGAUGGCAGGCAUAUUGGCAAGUUGUCAUGACAACAGGGAUGUUCGGCUGAUGAAGACUUGCUCUAGACUGUCCAAUCGGAUGACGGCUGCUUAAACUGCAGCGUGAGCGCAAGUAUUGGGGGGGACAUGCGUUUUCCAGAUACACACAAUGCCAAGGACGACGCCCUGGUCCAAGACCACCUACGGAUCAUCAUCGGCUGCAGGAGUGGGACGGCUAACUGACUGACACGAUCCGUUUCGGUAUGGAAACAAGGCGGAGGAAGAAACAAGACGGGGACAGGUGGAAUCCCGGUUCUGAUGUACACCUCUGGACUCAACCAUACAAUCUGAUAUUAUGGAGAAUUCCAGACGGUCGUCAAAAUCUAGAAAGAAACCAUGGAGAAAAGAAGAGGCUUGGGAAAGAGCAAAGGAUGGUGUGACCUUCCUGAAACCCUUUUCACUCUAAAGCUUGAGGCCGAACACCAGAGCAGAAAUCCAAUCGUCGGAAACCAUCUUCCUCACCCAGUAAUAAGAGUCUAAAAGGAAAGCCAAAGUUAAGCGAGAAGGAUGCUGCG